AGUGAACGCUGGCGGUAGGCCUAACACAUGCAAGUCGAACGGCAGCACAGUAAGAGCUUGCUCUUACGGGUGGCGAGUGGCGAACGGGUGAGGAAUACAUCGGAAUCUACUUUUUCGUGGGGGAUAACGUAGGGAAACUUACGCUAAUACCGCAUACGACCUACGGGUGAAAGCAGGGGAUCUUCGGACCUUGCGCGAUUGAAUGAGCCGAUGUCGGAUUAGCUAGUUGGCGGGGUAAAGGCCCACCAAGGCGACGAUCCGUAGCUGGUCUGAGAGGAUGAUCAGCCACACUGGAACUGAGACACGGUCCAGACUCCUACGGGAGGCAGCAGUGGGGAAUAUUGGACAAUGGGCGCAAGCCUGAUCCAGCCAUACCGCGUGGGUGAAGAAGGCCUUCGGGUUGUAAAGCCCUUUUGUUGGGAAAGAAAAGCAGCAGGUUAAUACCCCGCUGUUCUGACGGUACCCAAAGAAUAAGCACCGGCUAACUUCGU
rnacentral:rRNA from 1 species